GGGAGUACGGAGGCGUCGGGAUCAGGUGGCGGCGAUUCGGGUCUCGAUGGGACUGGUUUCCUUUAGUGAGGCAAUCUCUCGGCUUGGUGGUGUUUUCGUGGUGCCUUUUAUUUUGUUGGGGUGUACGGCCUUUACCGGUUGGUUGCCUUGAUGAGUGAGAGGUACGGCGGGAUAUCUCUUUGGUCGGGAAUGUCUCGCGGGGGCUGGCUCUGUUGUUAUUCGGUCGUCGUCAUCCCCGGCGAUACCUUCUGCUCUCGCGUCCGUCACGCAGUCUUCUUAGAGGGACAAGCGGCGUCCAGCCGCGUGACAGUGAGCAAUAACAGGUCUGUGAUGCCCUUAGAUGUCCUGGGCCGCACGCGCGCUACACUGAAGGAAUCAGCGUGUUUCACUCUCCCUGUCCGAAAGGACCGGGUAACCGCUGAACCUCCUUCGUGGUUGGGAUUGGGGACUGC
rnacentral:rRNA from 1 species